rnacentral:rRNA from 1 species
AACGAACGCUGGCGGCAUGCCUAACACAUGCAAGUCGAACGAGACCUUCGGGUCUAGUGGCGCAAGGGUGCGUAACGCGUGGGAACAUGCCCUUAGGUUCGGACUACCUCUCCGAAAGGGGUGCUAAUACCGGAUAAUGUCUCCGGACCAAAGAUGUUUUGCCUUUGGAUGGGCCCGCGUUGGAUUAGGUUGUUGGUAGGGUAAAAGCCUACCAAGGGGAUGAUGCAUAGCUGGUCUGAGAGAAUGCUCAGCCACGCUUGGGCUAAGACCCAGCCCAGAAUCCUACGCAAGGCAGGAGAGGGGAAUAUAGGACAGGGGAGGAAGGCCUGAUGCAGCAGUGCCGGGAAAGAGAUGAAGGCCGUAGGGUACUAAAGCGCGUUUACCCGGGAUGAUAAUGACGGUACCGGGAGAAUAAGCUCCGGCUAACUACGUG